AUCAUGUUGCUACAGUCUGCGGCAGAAGACAGGAUCUGAAGCCACAUCCCUCUGCUUCAUCCUGUUAGUGGUUGGAACCAAACAGGGAAAAGAAGAAAGUCCCCAAAGCCUAGCAGAAUGGAGAGAGGAGGGUGGCGCACAUUCUACAAGUUUGAAUCUGCAGAGGCAACAUUCCCAAAGAAUCAGUUACUAUGAGACUGGACUGGAGAAACAUCUGAGGCACUAGGCCUGAAGAACCCUGACUCUCAACUGGACUGUCCAGGGACCCAAACAAGAACCACUAUUGCUCACUUUGAAUUAUACCUGUUUAAACCUCCAUACCAAGGGUAUUUUCAAUCAUCCCCUUUCCUGCCAGCGCUUGUAAAAACCUUUCCCUGAGCCACGUGUCUGAGUGGUGAUUGGGAACACCACUAGGACUAGUGCCUACAAGCUGUAGCUGCUGAUGUACCUGCAGUGUUGCCUCCGAGACACAGUGCACUCAGCAGGCUACUGGCAUCCCAAUAAUUACAAAACCUUUCUAUAACCAUGGCUUAAAGAUUCUAUAAAGGCUCAGUACAGACAAGGUUUGUGUUUAGUAAAAGAAGAACUUGCCCAGCUCUAUACUUUAAUCUUCCCUAUUAAUGUUAUCCUCCUAUAAAGACAAUGCAACCUAUAAGAUCCAAGGUACCAGUCAUUUAGGUCAAAUUUGCCAAAAGUUAUUUUCCAGUGGUGUAUGGCUGUGUAAUAGCAGCUUUCAUGUCUUAGGAGA